rnacentral:rRNA from 1 species
GAGUUUGAUCAUGGCUCAGGAUGAACGCUAGCGACAGGCUUAACACAUGCAAGUCGAGGGGCAGCAAUUUGUAGCAAUACAAAGUUGGCGACCGGCGCACGGGUGAGUAACGCGUAUGCAACCUACCCACAACAGAAGAAUAAUCCGGCGAAAGUCGGUCUAAUACUUCAUAAAACAGGGACACCGCAUGGUGUUAUUUGUUAAAGAUUUAUCGGUUGUAGAUGGGCAUGCGUACCAUUAGGUAGUUGGUGAGGUAACGGCCCACCAAGCCUACGAUGGUUAGGGGUUCUGAGAGGAAAGUCCCCCACACUGGUACUGAGACACGGACCAGACUCCUACGGGAGGCAGCAGUGAGGAAUAUUGGUCAAUGGGCGAGAGCCUGAACCAGCCAAGUCGCGUGAAGGAUGACGGCCCUAUGGGUUGUAAACUUCUUUUGCAGGGGAAUAAAGAUAUUCACGUGUGGGUAGUUGUAUGUACCCUGCGAAUAAGCAUCGGCUAACUCCGUGCCAGCAGCCGCGGUAAUACGGAGGAUGCGAGCGUUAUCCGGAUUUAUUGGGUUUAAAGGGUGCGUAGGUGGGCUAUUAAGUCAGUGGUGAAAGUUUGUCGCUCAACGAUAAAAUUGCCGUUGAAACUGGUGGUCUUGAGUAUGGAUGAAGUAGGCGGAAUGCGUGGUGUAGCGGUGAAAUGCAUAGAGAUCACGCAGAACUCCGAUUGCGAAGGCAGCUUACUAAGGCAUAACUGACACUGAAGCACGAAAGCGUGGGUAUCAAACAGGAUUAGAUACCCUGGUAGUCCACGCAGUAAACGAUGAUUACUAGGAGUUUGCGAUAUAGUGUAAGCUCUACAGCGGAAGCGUUAAGUAAUCCACCUGGGGAGUACGCCGGCAACGGUGAAACUCAAAGGAAUUGACGGGGGCCCGCACAAGCGGAGGAACAUGUGGUUUAAUUCGACGCAACGCGAAGAACCUUACCAGGUCUUGACAUUGAUGGACAGAACUAGAGAUAGUUCCUCUUCUUCGGAAGCCAGAAAACAGGUGGUGCACGGUUGUCGUCAGCUCGUGUCGUGAGAUGUUGGGUUAAGUCCCGCAACGAGCGCAACCCCUAUCUUAUGUUGCCAGCACUUCGGGUGGGAACUCAUGAGAGACUGCCGCAGACAAUGCGGAGGAAGGCGGGGAUGACGUCAAAUCAUCAUGCCCCUUAUGACCUGGGCUACACACGUACUACGAUGGGAGUUAAUAGACGGAAGCGAUACCGCGAGGUGGAGCGAAACCCGAGAAAACGCUCUCUCGGUUCGGAUCGUAGAGCUGCGAACUCGCCUACGUGAAAGUUCGGAUUCGCUAGGAAUCGCGGGUCGGCGGACUGCGGUGAAAACGUUUCCCGGGCCCAUGUCGCACCGCCCGCGAAG